GCGGAGCUGGCUGUAUUUUACUGGACAUCUCUAUGACAGCUUUCACCAGCCCGGUUACAUUCUCAUAGACUUUGUCAUUGGAGCGGUCCAGGUUGGCCGUAGGAGGAGGGCUGAUUUCCUGUGGCUUGAUCUUCACGCCUUCAUUGUAGCUGUCCACGGGGCUGUUCAGGCUCGCGAGGCUGCCCAAGUGAGGGGCUCCAGGGCGAGGGGGCUUCUUUGGUGGAGCGGCAUGAUCUGGUUUACCCACAGGCUGAUAUAUGUGCUGGUUACCAGCUGGGCCCUGGAGACCUCCGUCCUCCCGUUCAAUGCUGCCUCUGGAGAGCCGCACAUCAGGUUUCAGGAAUCGUUCCUCUUUCUCAAGCCAGCGUUGAUCUUCUUCCAUCUCUUGCUGUUGUCUUAUUAACCUCUCCUCCAUGAGAUGUGUGGGCAGAACCUGCCCCAUUCCUCGUACAUCCAAAGUGCCCGAAUCCUCCAUGUUUGGCUGCCAUGCUGAUACUUCCUG
rnacentral:lncRNA from 1 species